rnacentral:rRNA from 1 species
AUGAGCUGUGAGGAGAUGAGCCGCCGCCCGCUCCCGCCGGCGGCCGCCCCGCCGCUGGAGGACGACAACCUCCUCUCCGAGAUCCUCCUCCGCCUCUCGCCAGAUCCGUCCUCCCUCCCUCGCGCCUCCCUCAUCUCCAAGCGCUGGCUCGGAAUCGUCUCCGACCCCGGCUUCUCCCGCCGCUUCCGCCUCCACCACCGCCACAACCCACCUCUCCUCGGGUUCUUCUACCACGUCUCGGACUUCGAACCUGCAAUGGAUCCCCCCAAUCGUGUCCCGGAUUCCCACCUCUCUUCGUGCCUCGAGACCCUCGACGACGACCGCAUCUGGUACUUGAUGCCCUUGGGAUCCCGCCAUGGCCUCCUACUCACCUUCUGCGAAUUGUGGAACAAGCUCCUGGUGUGGGACACCUUCAACGUCGAGCAGCACCACCUAGCUGUUCCCCCGGGGUUCGAUUUGGAGAAGGCCUGGGCCAGCGGGGCGGUGUUUCGCGCCGCCGGAGACAACCAAUACUUCCAGGUGGUCUUGGUAAGCACAGAGACAGCUGACCAACAACAUACACGGGCAAUCGCCCGUGUUUACUCAUCGGAGACUGGCGGAUGGGGUGAUAUUGUCUCGACACCGCUUCCACCCAAGGCUUCUAGUUCUACUAUGGGCGAGGGCGAAUUUCCCACCAAGAUUACAAUGUUCUUAACUAUCAGUGUGCUAGUUGGGCAUUCCAUUUACUGGUUGCUCAUUGACAGAUCGGCAGAAAUUAACACAUUGGAUGGCAUCCUUGAGUUUGAUUUGGAGAGGCAGAUUCUAGCUGUGAUACCGGUGCCAUUGGAUAUUGCCAAUAAUAGUCUAGCCCAAUUCCAGGUUAUGCGGGCAGAGGGCGGUGGCCUUGGUAUUCUCUCUCUGUCAAAAUUCAGCGCCCAAUUAUGGAAGAUGGAGACCGAUUCUGAUGGUGUUGCUUCAUGGAUGCUGCAAAGAACUAUCAAUCUAGAUAAACUACUUUCCACGAAUUCAGAUAUUGAGAGAGGGCCGCCCCCAAUAAUACUAGGGUUUGCUGAGUACAAUAAUGUGGUAUUCCUAUGGACACAUAUUGGCGUCUUCACGAUCCAGCUUGAGUCCCUGACGUUCAAGAAAGUUUCCAAAACCCUCAUGGGUCGCUAUUUUCCAUUCGAAAGUGGCUAUGCUGCAGGAGGCAAGCGUAUUGGUGGUGGACAUGAUGGAGCUGAACUUUUACAUAAUACAUAA